GUGUCAGCAGCCGCGGUAAUACCGGCAGCUCAAGUGAUGACCGAUUUUAUUGGGCCUAAAGCGUCCGUAGCUGGCCGCGCAAGCCUGUCGGGAAAUCCACCCGCUUAACGGGUGGGCGUCCGGCGGAAACUGCGUGGCUUGGGACCGGAAGGCGCGACAGGUACGUCCGGGGUAGGAGUGAAAUCCCGUAAUCCUGGACGGACCGCCGAUGGCGAAAGCACGUCGCGAGGACGGAUCCGACAGUGAGGGACGAAAGCUAGGGUCUCGAACCGGAUUAGAAACCCCAGUAGUCC
rnacentral:rRNA from 1 species